rnacentral:rRNA from 1 species
GGAUAGAGGCCUACCAUGGUGGUAACGGGUAACGGGGUGUUAGGGCACGACACCGGAGAGGGAGCCUGAGAAACGGCUACCACAUCCAAGGAUGGCAGCUGGCGCGCAAAUUACCCAAUCCCGACACGGGGAGGUAGUGACAAUAAAUAACAAUACGGGGUUCUUUAGGAUCUCGUAAUUGGAAUGAGUACAAUUUAAAUCUCUUAACGAGGAACAAUUGGAGGGCAAGUCUGGUGCCAGCAGCCGCGGUAAUUCCAGCUCCAAUAGCGUAUAUUAAAGUUGUUGCAGUUAAAAAGCUCGUAGUUGAAUUUCGGGGUUAGUAGGUUGGUCAUGCCUCUGGUAUGUACUGGUCUCACUGAUUCCUCCUUCCUUAUGAACCGUAAUGCCAUUAAUUUGGUGUUGCGGGGAAUUUGGACUGUUACUUUGAAAAAAUUAGAGUGUUUAAAGCAAGCUAACGCUUGAAUACAUUAGCAUGGAAUAAUGAAAUAGGACGUUCGAUCUUAUUUUGUUGGUUUCUAGGAUUGACGUAAUGAUUAAUAGGGAUAGUUGGGGGCAUUAGUAUUCAAUUGUCAGAGGUGAAAUUCUUGGAUUUAUUGAAGACUAACUACUGCGAAAGCAUUUGCCAAGGAUGUUUUCAUUAAUCAAGAACGAAAGUUAGGGGAUCGAAGACGAUCAGAUACCGUCGUAGUCUUAACCAUAAACUAUGCCGACUAGGGAUCGGAUG